GACGUAGGAGGCGAGCGUUGUCCGGAUUCAUUGGGCGUAAAGAGCGCGCAGGCGGCUUGGUAAGUCGGAUGUGAAAUCCCGAGGCUCAACCUCGGGUCUGCAUCCGAUACUGCCCGGCUAGAGGUAGGUAGGGGAGAUCGGAAUUCCUGGUGUGAGCGGUGGAAAUGACGCAGAUAUCAGGAGGAACACCGGUGGCGAAGGCGGAUCUCUGGGCCUUACCUGACGCUCAGGCGCGAAAGCGUGGGGAGCAAACAGG
rnacentral:rRNA from 1 species